UGAAACAUUCAGGCAGGAGAACGGGAAGGCUCAGCAGCUGCAGGACACGACCGAGGAGGAAUUUCGGAUGGCUCUGGACUCCUCUGCGCAACUUCUCAGGCCCAAGUACGACCAAACAAUUCAGCGUCUGAUACUUGAGCUAAGAAUACGAGCAAAUACUUGGCAGGGGCCUCCCAGUGCCUGGCAGGGGCCUCGCACAGAACGCACCUCUGAUAAAUAAACGUGAGUGGCUGGGACCGCCAUGGAAAGGCGGGACUGUGUGCGGCACCCGGCCCGGCUCCAGGCACAGCGGGCACUAAGUGACCCUGUCCCUUAGCGGCCAUCCGAGGUCAGGAGAGGCUGGCAGUCCCGUGGCACGUCCCUCCCAACCCACUCUGCUCCUGAGAGGUGCCCCCUGCGGACGCUGCGCCCGCACGGAGUCCUACGCGUCCUAGACCUUCCCACCAGCUUGGCGGGCGGAGGGAGGACAGCCAGCCAGAGACACCCCGAUUCCAAGCACACCCCUGACACACGCCUCCUCAGUGCCCCACAUCCUGCCUCCUCGUCCAUCAGAGCUGUGAUGACCACUGUCCAUCGCUGGGCUUCCUGAGCCCCCGACGUCAGCAGAAGAGGCUGCAUUUUCUCCCCGACGGAACUUCUCAAGAUGACGACGUCAGCCUUCACGGGAGAAGAGAGGGCAACCGGGAGACGGCACUCUGGGAAGCAGAAGGGCAGUGGCAGGGCCGUGAGACCCACCGAGGCGGGACCUGCAGACCGCGGGAAAAGCGACAGCAAAUGGCAGGAAAACUGUGUUUACCCUGCAAGCUGGUUGCACAAAGGAGGAAAAGCCCCACUGCUUACACUUGGUAAGUGCUGGAUUAUUCUAAAGAGAUGGCUACUGGGGUGCCUGGGUGGCUCAGUUGGUUAAGCAUCCGACUCUUGAUUUUGGCUCAGGUUAUGAUCUCACAGUUUGUGAGUUC